CCUUUAUCUGGGGGAUAGCCUUUCGAAAGGGAGAUUAAUACCCCAUAAUAUUUAGAAUGGCAUCAUUUUAAAUUGAAAACUCCGGUGGAUAGAGAUGGGCACGCGCAAGAUUAGAUAGUUGGUGAGGUAACGGCUCACCAAGUCAACGAUCUUUAGGGGGCCUGAGAGGGUGAUCCCCCACACUGGUACUGAGACACGGACCAGACUCCUACGGGAGGCAGCAGUGAGGAAUAUUGGACAAUGGGUGAGAGCCUGAUCCAGCCAUCCCGCGUGAAGGACGACGGCCCUAUGGGUUGUAAACUUCUUUUGUAUAGGGAUAAACCUACCCUCGUGAGGGUAGCUGAAGGUACUAUACGAAUAAGCACCGGCUAACUCCGUGCCAGCAGCCGCGGUAAUACGGAGGGUGCAAGCGUUAUCCGGAUUUAUUGGGUUUAAAGGGUCCGUAGGCGGAUCUGUAAGUCAGUGGUGAAAUCUCACAGCUUAACUGUGAAACUGCCAUUGAUACUGCAGGUCUUGAGUGUUGUUGAAGUAGCUGGAAUAAGUAGUGUAGCGGUGAAAUGCAUAGAUAUUACUUAGAACACCAAUUGCGAAGGCAGGUUACUAAGCAACAACUGACGCUGAUGGACGAAAGCGUGGGGAGCGAACAGGAUUAGAUACCCUGGUAGUCCACGCCGUAAACGAUGCUAACUCGUUUUUGGUUUUUCGGAAUCAGAGACUAAGCGAAAGUGAUAAGUUAGCCACCUGGGGAGUACGUUCGCAAGAAUGAAACUCAAAGGAAUUGACGGGGGCCCGCACAAGCGGUGGAUUAUGUGGUUUAAUUCGAUGAUACGCGAGGAACCUUACCAAGGCUUAAAUGGGAAAUGACAGGUUUAGAAAUAGACUUUUCUUCGGACAUUUUUCAAGGUGCUGCAUGGUUGUCGUCAGCUCGUGCCGUGAGGUGUUAGGUUAAGUCCUGCAACGAGCGCAACCCCUGUCACUAGUUGCCAUCAUUAAGUUGGGGACUCUAGUGAGACUGCCUACGCAAGUAGAGAGGAAGGUGGGGAUGACGUCAAAUCAUCACGGCCCUUACGCCUUGGGCCACACACGUAAUACAAUGGCCAGUACAGAGGGCAGCUACACGGUGACGUGAUGCAAAUCUCGAAAGCUGGUCUCAGUUCGGAUUGGAGUCUGCAACUCGACUCUAUGAAGCUGGAAUCGCUAGUAAUCGCGCAUCAGCCAUGGCGC
rnacentral:rRNA from 1 species